GAUAGAAGAUUGCCAGAUUAAUGAAAACAACUUGUCUGCAAUCAUCACUUACAAGACCAGAGCAGAGGCCGAACAGGCAGCGCUUCAUGGAAUGAGGCUGAACAACCAGAGUUUACACCUAGCUUGGCAUAAGCCUGUCAUGAACCUCAAUAGUAAUGAUGCUGAAGAGGCAGAACCAGAGGAAGAUGAGUACCCAGACGAGUCCCUGAGUGACGAUGCAUUACUGCAAGACGACGAUGAAGAGGAUGAUGACAAUGAGCCUCGAUCCUGGCGAAGAUGAAGAACAGCUCCUGGUUGCUCUGGUGUGGAGGACGUGCAGCUGUCCACUAACUUUUCAAGAUUUCAGUGCCGGUUUAUGAUGUAUUUCACUUCUUUGCUGGACUUUUUUUUUUUCCCUCUCAAAUAUGUAACUGGCAUAGCAACAAUGUGCAAGUUAGAUUAAUUUUAAUGUUUACCAGAUACAACAAUGGUGAUUUUUUUUUUAAUGCUCUUAAUGUAGAAGUAGUUCUGUGCCCUUUCCUUUUUUUUUUUCCUUUCUUUCUUUCACAAAACACAAAUAGUUUGUCGGGAUAGGUGACAAUGUUCACUUAAAGACACAUUUGCUAACUUGUUUUAAGAAAACAGAACCUGUGUUGUAAUUUGAAAUUGAAUGACAGACUGUAGCUUUUGCAGAAUAGUGUUAGGUUGACUGGUUUAAUGCUCAUGUGUAAAUAUUUUAUGUAUGGGUUGAAAUUAUUUGUAUAAAUGCUUGGCUUCUCAGUUCUUGGCUUUACUUUGAAUUGUGUAAAAAAAGAAAAGAAAUAAAGAAUUGAAAUGGUCUGAUAACAUCCUGCCAAAACACCAAAAAAAAGAAAAAUAGAAAACAAAUGUUGGCAGUGAAAAAAGAAAAAAAAUCCAAAAGAGUGUAAAAAAGACCAUUUCAAAAAAAAAAAAACUUCCUCUUCACCAAAAGAGCAAAACUUCCAACAAACUUCCUCCUUACACCCACACUUUUUUUUUUGUCGGUAAGGUAACUUUUUACAUACCAUAUGAAGGUAAGGGCAUGAAAUAAAUGCUUUAUUCAUUCCUUUAUACACUUUACUCUGUACUGGAGACAGUAAAUCUAAUCUGCAGGUUCAGUCACUGAUAGAAAGAGUAAUAAUGGCUAAAAUAUUUGAUUUUCAUUUUUUUGCAGGAGCAGAGUCUGCAGAAUCCUGACACAGCUGCUCCAUCUCCAACAGCCUUCAGCAUCUGAAGAUUUUAUGAACUGAAUGUUGUAUUUAAUGUUUCAUUUUGUACUUGACAAAUAAAUUAUCAUGUAUGAAAAAUAUAGCAA